CCUGAUGCAGCCAUGCCGCGUGUGUGAAGAAGCCCUUCGGGUUGUAAAGCACUUUCAGCGAGGAGGAAAGGUUACUGGCUAAUAUCCAGUAGCUGUGACGUUACUCGCAGAAGAAGCACCGGCUAACUCCGUGCCAGCAGCCGCGGUAAUACGGAGGGUGCGAGCGUUAAUCGGAAUUACUGGGCGUAAAGCGUGCGCAGGCGGUUUGUUAAGCGAGAUGUGAAAGCCCCGGGCUCAACCUGGGAACUGCAUUUUGAACUGGCAAACUAGAGUCUUGUAGAGGGGGGUAGAAUUCCAGGUGUAGCGGUGAAAUGCGUAGAGAUCUGGAGGAAUACCGGUGGCGAAGGCGGCCCCCUGGACAAAGACUGACGCUCAUGCACGAAAGCGUGGGGAGCAAACAGGAUUAGAUACCCUGGUAGUCCACGCCGUAAACGAUGUCUACUCGGAGUUUGGUGUCUUGAACACUGGGCUCUCAAGCUAACGCAUUAAGUAGACCGCCUGGG
rnacentral:rRNA from 3 species